rnacentral:rRNA from 1 species
UACGAAGGGGGCUAGCGUUGCUCGGAAUGACUGGGCGUAAAGGGCGCGUAGGCGGCUCGCUUAGUCAGGCGUGAAAGCCCUGGGCUCAACCCUGGAAUUGCCUUUGAUACUGGCUGUCUUGAGUACGGGAGAGGUGAGUGGAACUCUGAGUGUAGAGGUGAAAUUCGUAGAUAUUCGGAAGAACACCAGUGGCGAAGGCGACUCACUGGCCCGUUACUGACGCUGAGGCGCGAAAGCGUGGGGAGCAAACAGG